rnacentral:misc_RNA from 1 species
GCCACGUCAACGCCACGUGUAACAAAGACUCGGUCAAUAUUGCCACGUAGGCGCCAUGUGGCGCCA